rnacentral:lncRNA from 1 species
UCCUCCUCCCCUCCUUUCUUUCCCGACGUCACCUCCCUCUCCUCAUGCACUUUCCAUUUCUGGUUGCUCCCUUUGCCGCCCCUCCAUCCUUUGCCUGCCGUGAGUUACCCUAGACAUCACCAGCCUGUUGCUGUUGUCCACGCCGCCUUCAACCGUUGAGGAAGAGUUGUUUGAGAGAAGGAAGUUUCCUCCGCUGCUGUCACUGCCAAAUCACCUUGUUGUCGUCGUCCUUCGAUAAAUCCAACACCAGAACCUCACUCCUUACCGUUGAAAACCCCAAGGUCAACUCUUCCCUGCUAUUGUUCUCACCGGAAGCUAGAGGUGUAGUCUCACCAGAGCAGUGCUUUUCCAGCCACGAUUCGGUGUCCUCCGAAGAGAGUUGGUCAUGAUUUCAGUGUUUUUGGAUUCCCCGCAGCUCAAGCUUUGCGUAGGCGUCCCCAGAUUUGAAUUUCAACACCAUUGGUAGUACCAGCUUUCAGAUCCUAUUGUUUUCUAGACGGGCAGAGUUUAGAUUUUUGGGCUCGGUAAAUUUUAUUUGGACCUUAAAAUUUAUUUAAAAAAUUUAGAGAAUAUUAUUACCAUUAAUUUUUAAUUAUAAAUAAUUUAAUUUAAUUAGGUUUAAAUAAUUAUAAUUUAAUUAUAGAUAUUAUGAAUUAAUUAGUGUGAUUAAUUAUUAUUCAGUUUUAUGAUAAAUAUGGUUGUGAAUAAUUAAAUUAGAUGCCAUGAAUUAUUUGUGAACUGGCUAUAAAUAAAUGUUAAUGUUGAACUAUCUGUUAUUAAUUGAGAUCUGUACUGUGUUGCGGAGUCGGAAAAAUAAUGCAGUUAUGGGGACUCCUGAUAAUUAUGUGAUGAAUAUUUUAAGUGUUUUUAGUAGAUUUUGAACUCAUUUUACGAGGAUAAAAAUUCGUAUUUUAGGGGAGGUUUUGACGAAUUUUUGAUAGAAUUUUCAAGUCGGGAUCAGUUUAAAUUUCUUUAGGCAGAUUAAUAUAGGAGUUUAGGCCUAGAAAAAAUUAUAAAAUAUCUUAUUCAUUAAUUAUUUUCGUGAAUAGAUAAUCCGUCAGUCCAGCUAGCUCCAUCUGAGGCAUAUGAGUAGAUAGCAAAACUCGGCAGAACUGUGAAUUAAAGUCAUAUAUUCUACUGCAUAAGCCAUAUCUAGAUCUAAAUGCAAUUUUUAAAUGAGUAAUUAAUAUGGUUAUGUUGGUGGUAUUUGUGAUGUUAAAUUUAUUUUCUUUGCUAUUAUUAUUAUUAUUAUUGUUGUUGUUGGUGGUGGUGCUGGUGCUAUUCAACUAUUAUUAUUAUGAAUAUUACAUUAUUAAAUUAUACCAUUACAUCUUUUUGUGAGUUGAUUUUAGUACCAUGCUACAUAUUAUUAUUGAUGCUAAUAUAUAUUAUGGUUCGGGAUGAGGUAAUAGUAGAACGUGCCACCUGAUGGGUUGCAUCAGGUCUGUAUACGCACCGAUAGAAAUCAGAGCCACGUAAUAGAUGAAUAUUUGAUGAUGUGUCUUGGUCGAGCACAACUCUCUAGGCUUAUAGAAUCUUGAUUUGUUGGAGAAAGGUUCAUGGUCGAGCGUUGCUCUCUGGGCACCAUUUACCAUUUAUAUUGAUAUUUAAGUGAUCGGAUUCGACUUACUUAUUUUAUUUUUAUUUUUACAUAGA